GGAUGAACGCUGGCGGCGUGCUUAACCCAUGCAAGUCGAACGGUGAAGGCGGAGCUUGCUCUGCUGGAUCAGUGGCGAACGGGUGAGUAACACGUGAGCAAUCUGCCCCUGACUCUGGGAUAAGCGCUGGAAACGGCGUCUAAUACUGGAUACGAGCUGCGAAGGCAUCUUCAGCAGCUGGAAAGAAUUUCGGUCAGGGAUGAGCGCGCGGCCUAUCAGCUUGUUGGUGAGGUAAUGGCUCACCAAGGCGUCGACGGGUAGCCGGCCUGAGAGGGUGACCGGCCACACUGGGACUGAGACACGGCCCAGACUCCAACGGGAGGCAGCAGUGGGGAAUAUUGCACAAUGGGCGGAAGCCUGAUGCAGCAACGCCGCGUGGGGGACGACGGCCUUCGGGUUGUAAACCUCUUUUAGCAGGGAAGAAGCGAAAGUGACGGUACCUGCAGAAAAAGCGCCGGCUAACUACGUG
rnacentral:rRNA from 1 species